rnacentral:rRNA from 1 species
UACGGAGGGUGCGAGCGUUGUUCGGAAUCACUGGGCGUAAAGCGCGUGUAGGCGGCCCACUAAGUCUGAUGUGAAAGCCCGGGGCUCACCCCCGGAAGUGCAUUGGAAACUGGUGGGCUCGAGUCCCGGAGAGGAGAGUGGAAUUCCUGGUGUAGCGGUGAAAUGCGUAGAUAUCAGGAGGAACACCGGUGGCGAAGGCGGCUCUCUGGACGGUGACUGACGCUGAGACGCGAAAGCGUGGGGAGCAAACAGG